rnacentral:lncRNA from 1 species
UAGGCUAAGCAAUGCAAUACUAUUCAAUUUCUAGUUUUCAUCUUCCAAAUUUGUCAUGACCCGAACCAGGGCCUGGCCGUGACGAGCAUUUCGAACCAUAGAGGCCCGAAACACCCCUAUCUGUCUGGUAAUCAUGCACCUAAUUCAUAUGAUCAAAGUAAUGCGGAAGAAACACAAUAAUUCGGAAACAUGGUCAUAAAUAUGAAAAGAAACAAUAACGGGGAGAUAAGGUUCCCUCAACAUCAAUUAACCUCUAAACAACUGUCUGUGAAAAUCUCAAACAAAUGACUAAGUCAAGUAACCGUAUAUAAACUGGGACAAGGCCCCCAGUAGACCCCCAAAACUGUAUAUAAGAUAAAAGGACAUAAGACCUUCCGAAAUAUAGAAGGCUCACCACUUGUCUCUGCAACUCUGUCUGAAUGAUCUACUAAUUCUCUUGACCCCUAGACUGGGCCUCUGAACCUUGUGAGGUUGGAGAGGGGAGGGGGUCAGCACAAAAGUACUGGCACGCAGAGAUAUCAAAACAAAAUAUAAUAUUUUUACAAAAUAUGGUUGAGAGCCAUUAUAAAGAAAUUUCGUAUCAAAUUAUUUGAAAUCACAUGGGCGUAAUGCAAUAGUUUUCUCAACAAUCAAUGAAAUGCAACUGAGCUAGGUGGAAUACCCUACAUAAUUUACACCAACUGUCAAACCUCGGUUGCCGCUGAGAUUAGAGUAUAAGUGAGGUAGAGACACACAAGACACAUAGCAUGGUGUCUGGACCCAAUGGUAGUGCCCAAGAUCACUUAGCCCGGGAUCCUACCUAUAGUCCCAAUUUGGGAAUGACAUGAAGUCAAGUACACAAGAUCACUUAGCCUGGUACCAANNNNNNNNNNNNNNNNNNNNNNNNNNNNNNNNNNNNNNNNNNNNNNNNNNNNNNNNNNNNNNNNNNNNNNNNNNNNNNNNNNNNNNNNNNNNNNNNNNNNNNNNNNNNNNNNNNNNNNNNNNNNNNNNNNNNNNNNNNNNNNNNNNNNNNNNNNNNNNNNNNNNNNNNNNNNNNNNNNNNNNNNNNNNNNNNNNNNNNNNNNNNNNNNNNNNNNNNNNNNNNNNNNNNNNNNNNNNNNNNNNNUCAAGAGAGGAAAUUUCAUAUCAUUCAUGCUCUCAAGUUAACAUCUUUUCGGAAUACAUGCAUAUACAUAUAUCAUUAGCAAAUCACUUUGGGAGUAGGCCUAAAGGCCAAAUCAAUAUCAUAAAACGUUUAAAACAUAAUCAUAUUCGUAAUUUCAAAACCUCAUUUGAAAACAUGAAUUUUUAAAGCCCAUGAGAUUUUUGAGAUAACCCCACGCACCUCUAUAUGCGAAUAUGAUAGGUUCUUCUUGAAGCCUACGUUGUGGAGAUUCCAAAUCUUCAAUUUGUUUUGAAAACCCAUGGUUGAAUCUUGAACUAUUUGGGUUUUUAUUUUGAAACCCUAGAGAGAGUUCUUGAACAAAUUGGAUGAAUGAAGGUGUAUUUUGGGGUCUUUGGGAACUGAAUUUCGUGUUUAUGGCUAAAUAAGGGUGGAAAAGGACCAUUUUGCCCCAAAAACGGAGUGUUUAAGUCACCUGAAACUUUUACAUAGGCGGUGCCUAUGCUAUCGCCUAUGUUUACAUCGGCGCCGCCUACUUCUUUGAAAGGCCAUAACUUCUUGCUCGGGUGUCGGAUUUUAGCAAAAUUGGUAUUGUUGAAAAGCUAAAUCGAACACCUAUCAUUUGACACAUAGUAGGCUCUGUAAUUCAACAUAUACAGAUAGUUAUGGUCAAUGGAAACUGACACAAAUUACAACGUCCACUAAAACUUAAUAGAUUGAAAAGUUUCAACUCGCCCUUGAGUUGAAGGACCUCUAUGGUCUAAAUUCAAGCUUGAAUGGAUUCACAUACUACACAAUUAAUUAACAUGUCAUAUUGGCAUAGGAUUUAUGGCUUCGAGAUUAUCAACGCAUCGAAAUCAUGGUUUUUAUUCUAGCCCAAAAUGCGGGGUGUUACAUUAUCUCCCUCUUGGGAUCAUUCGUCCUCGAAUGAUAGGUAAGAACAUAUUGAAGCUUAGAGGUAUGGAAUAACACGGACACGACAUGUCCUCUAAUAAAGAAUACACUGAUCUGAAACAUGACCAUUUGGCUGGAACUACUAAUGUUAUGAAUUCUUAUACCAAACAUGCAAAUUUGAUGCAUGGAAUACAUGACUGAAGCUAUUCAUAAGCUGAAUUCUCAUAAUGAACAAGCAUAUCUGAUGCAUGGAUCUGUGACUGAGUUGUUCUCAUGAACGAAGGACUAAAUAUACUGAUAAGCUAAACUUUUUCUAUUGAACAUGCAUUUUUAAUACAUGUAUAUCUGACUGAACUGACGUAUGAACGUAUGACUGAAUACGCAAUGGCAACUGGUGCGGAGCUUGUAAUAAGAAUCUAUGCAUGCAGUUGAAUGGGGUAUCUCCCCCUUGGGACCUUACGUCCCUCUAUGAAUGUUUAAUUCACUAAGAUACUCGAAAAACUGAGGCGAUGCACAGGGCACCUAUGAAUUGAAUCAUAACUGAACAUUUGGAAUCUGAAUUUAAUGCAUGAUGCAUGAACUGGGCUAUACUCGUAACUACUGGUAUACUCUAUCUUGGAAUAGUAGCAUGUCUGAGAUUUUGAGUAGCAUGAAUAAGUGCAAAGAUGAGAAAACAAGUCAUGCGAAUCUGACUGCUAAACUAACUUAUUGUUCAUACAGACUGAAUUAUACUACACCCUCAUACUUAACUGGAGUACUCUCUUCAAAACUUUCUCUAAGGAAGCUCUAGCAGUAAUAGGGAGCCAUGCAUCUUGGGUACGGAUUACACAAGACAUCCAACUGAGGAAAUCACAACAUUGACACUACUCUGCAUUCUAGAAUAUAGAAAUAUAACUCCUAAAUUAGGAUAGAAUUUUCAGACCUUUGGCAAUACAGCUUCUUACUUUCAGGCUUAGAGCACUUCCCGAAUAUCCCUUGACUUUACUAUUCCCUAUAACUACCAUAUUCAUUCAACUCAGCUUAAAAUUCUCAUAUGAGCAUUGACAAAUCUUUCUACUAAUGUCGGAAAUAACUUAAUCCCUUCGCCGUGAUCAAGCCUAACUCUAAGUCAUAAAACAAAAUACAACAUGCCAGACCACGCUAUUAUUCUAAACCAUAUGAUGCCACCUUCUAUAUCUCCUUUAAAGAUCACAUCCUAAGUAUAACAUGCCUUACCACUUCAAUGACUACUAUAUGAAGUCGUUAAUGCAUAUUGCGACCUUCCACUACAAUCCCAAAAUGUCAUUCUAGCCUAAUUUAUAACCAUAUGUUAACUUCAAGGCAACCACACAUAAAUACAUACUUCACAUAGUUUCUAAACUAUUGUCAAUAUAACUCCCACGCGCUACCCUAAGACAUAUACACACAAAAUUUUCCACUAAAUAUCACAUGUAUCAAAGACUUGGCCCCAAAUGUUACUUCAUACUUAUGGCCUUAUCUAAAGAAUCAUACUAUGAUCUUCCAUCAACAAGAACAUUUACAUCAUCACCACUAUCAUUUCACAGGAAGGGUCACUAAAAGGUUAAAACAUAAGACCCUCAAGCGUGAAAAGAUCUUUAUACAGGACUGAGCACACUAUAAAGAGUGAGUACAUGCGUCAUGAGUUGCAUGACCUCAACUAGAGUUCAUAACAUAAGGAAUAUGAUUUCAACUACUUGAAUGAACUGGAACUCAUUAUCUUGGAAUUGGAAGAGUAUGUGACUCUCUAUUAUAUACCGGAAUCAUGAACUAUUAUCACGAAACUAAAUCGUAAGGCAUGAGUAAGCUUCUGGAUAACAAAAAAAUACUGAGGUAGGAAUGGGUUGAGAUUCACCCUCACUUUCUAAUGUUCUAAAUCAUAUACUGCAUCACUACUAGAAUCUGAGAGCCUUACUUGGUUAUUCAUUCUAUCAUCUCCCCCUUAGCUUCAAGUCAUCAUCUAGAGUUCGGGAGAUCCCUUACCAUAUUCUAACUGAACUACACUUACUGUACUCUAGGGUCUGAAAGAAAAAAAUGACAAUACAUGCAUAUCGUAGACUUAAACCGAAUGACUACCUUCUGGGAUACACUCUAUCUUUCCAUAGCCACCAAUAGUCAUAGUAUAAUACUUGCACACUUAUUUAUAUCGGUUCAACCUUCAAAACUCAAACUUAGAUUCUAACACUUAAUAUGGCUAUUUAGAUCACCAUAUACCAUCUAACUAGUCUUUCUCCACUUAACAAUUCAAUGGAACCACUAGCCACACAAAUUAUGUAAUAGUCUUAGAAAAAAUAUGCCGCAACCUCAUAUCACCUUGGCAUACUUCUACACCAUACCUACAACAUUAUACUUCAUUACGAAUCAAUUUAAACUUAAGAUAUAUCAUACACCGUUCAAUCCUAUUAGAUCACUUUCAUAUAAAUAAUAUCAUUGAUCAAGAAAUCAUCACAUCCACCUUUAUGAACUUCAACUGUUCAAACUUAAUGUCUAGUGCUAUGUAUGAUUUACAACCCAACCUUACACAAAAUUUUCACUUGGAAACUAUAAAUAAACAUCACGAAACACUAGUGCACUAGAACUUCAUAACCACAAUAAUCGAUCAUGACCUAACGGUUUUCCUUAUCAUAAUCCGUUAGCAUGCACUAUUUCAGUACCUCAAGCCUACUACUUUAAUCCCACAACCAUACACCAUUAAUCUCAUGCCACUAUUCUUACAUCCACAUCCAAGCCUAUAGUUUAGUAUCAAUCAUCUACCACCAAUGAAGAAUGCAACAUAAUAUAAAUAUACUAAUCCAUCAAAUUGGGACAUUCUACCCGAAUAUCUCAAAAAUCUAUUACAUACCUUCUCACAAGUGGCACUAGUUUACAACUACCAAUGAAAAGAGGGUCAAGGGGGUUAAAGCCUCAUAAUAGACAUGGUCAACCUUAUCCUUAUAUUAUAACCCCGUACAAUUGUAUCUAAUUAUACUGCUUUCUCACAUCAUAAUUACUUACCCAAGCGUACAUUUACACUACCUUCAAAUUUCUCAAAAAACCAUGAGUCUAUAAUCAUAACUUACUCGCUAAUAUAGCCAUUUUCACAUUCAAGCAACCAACAAAUCACCCUGACCAACAACUCCUUCUCUACCUUAUACUAAUAACACACAAGGAAGAAUCACUUCAUUACCAACUCUAUCUCAUGCAAAUAGAUUCAGCCAUACAUAUAUUAAACCAAUGAAAGAACAAUAAGUUGGACCACAAGUUGCUAGUGAAUCGAAACAGGCCUCACACGGCUUCACUAGACUUUGGUUUUGUAUUUUGAACAAGAAAAUGGGAUGAAUGACAAGUCAACUAUGCUAGUGAAUCGAAAGAGCCCCACAUGGCUUCACUAGACUUUUUAGUUUCAUCAACACAAUGAUAAAAUAUUUUCAAGAGAUAGAAACUUGUCACACAAUAGUCCAUAAUCUGAAAAUACACAUCUUACUUUGUAUAGAUAAAAAUCUGAGUCAAAUAUUUCCCCCACAGAUUAUGAUACAAUCCAUACAUAUUACUAGCUACCAACAGGUCAUGACACUGACAAUUUAACUUAUACUACUAUUUGGGUGGAAAUACAAUUCCAACACUCCUACUACAUAUCUUUUCCUUUAAGAUGACAUCUGCAACAUAAAUUUCUGAAAAGGGCCGAAUAUACUCAAUACAGAAGGCUGAAAAGUAUGAUUUCAUCAAGAUCAAGGUUCAAACUAGAACCCAUACACUCUAAAGCAAUAAUCGACUCUUCUCAAGUCCUUGCACAAUUUUAAGAUCUUAUAUGACGCGAUCCGAAGGGACAAUACCAUUUAGACUUUAAACUUCUUCACUUGAAUCACCCCAGUAAUGUGACGAGUCUGAGAACAUCCGAGUAAGAAAAGAAUUUGGGAUGAUUUUACUUUUGUAUGGACGUCACCAUAGCACGAAUUAAAGUAUGAAGGAGGAACAUUCUAACUCUGUUAAUCGAACUAGAACAUGAAGAAAGAGAGACAUUCUUAAACGUCUUGUAGCCUCCUGCUAAUAAGUGUGGCGUGCUACACACCCAUAAAUAAGAAUCUACCUGCCGCAAUUUCACAGACACCCUGGGACCAUGAACCAUGCUUUGAUACCAAGUUUGUCAUGACCCAAACCAGGGCUUGGCCGUGACGAGCAUUUCGAACCAUAGAGGCCCGAAACACCCCUAUCUGUCUGGUAAUCAUGCACCUAAUUCAUAUGAUUAAAGUAAUGCGGAAGAAACACAAUAAUUCAGAAACAUGAUCAUAAAUAUGAAAAGAAACAAUAACGGGGAGAUAAGAUUCCCUCAACAUCAAUUAGCCUCUAAACAAUUAUUUGCGAAAAUCUCAAACAAAUGACUGAGUUAAGUAACCGUAUAUAAACUGGGACAAGGCCCCCAGUAGACCCCCAAAACUGAAUAUAAGAUAAAAGGACAUAAGACCUUUCGAAAUAUAGAAGGCUCACCACUUGUCUCUGCAACUCUUUUUGAAUGAUCUACUGAUUCUCUUGACCCCUAGACUGGGCCUCUGAACCUUGUGAGGUUGGAGAGGGGAGGGGGUCAGCACAAAAGUACUGGCACGCAGAGAUAUCAAAACAAAACAUAAUAUUUUUACAAAAUAUGGUUGAGAGCCAUUAUAAAGAAAUUUCGUAUCAAAUUAUUUGAAAACACAUGGGUGUAAUGCAAUAGUUUUCCAACAACAAUGAAAUGCAACUGAGCUAGGUGGAAUACCCUACAUAAUUUACACCAACUGUCAAACCUCGGUUGCCACCGAGAUUAGAGUAUAAGUGAGGGAGAGACACACAAGAUCACAGAGCAUGGUGUCUCGACCCAAUGGUAGUACCCAAGAUCACUUAGCCCGGGAUCCUACCUAUAGUCCCAAUUUGGGAAUGACAUGAAGUCAAGUACACAAGAUCAUUUAGCCUGGUACCAAUAUUUCGUGUCGGCAAACACGUUUUCCAGCGAUGAGCCCUUACAUCUCAAAUGCCUUCUUCGGGCAUCGACCUUUCUUAUGUAAAAUCAAUGCAUUCAAAUUUUAUCUGAUUCAAUCACAUAUCAUGUUCUGUAGGGUAUCAUCAUACCCGACUUGCAAGUCCUCAAUAUCACUUCCAAAUAUGCAUAACCAUGUAAAAACCAA